rnacentral:rRNA from 1 species
GACAGAGGUGCCAAGCGUUAGGCGGAAUCACUGGGCUUAAAGCGUGUGUAGGCGGGUGCCUAAGUACCUUGUGAAAUCCCCCGGCUCAACCGGGGAACUGCUGGGUAUACUGGGUGCCUUGGGUCAUCUAGGGGCUGCCGGAACAAAUGGUGGAGCGGUGAAAUGCGUAGAUAUCAUUUGGAACGCCAACGGCGAAAGCAGGCAGCUGGGGAUGCACCGACGCUGAGACACGAAAGCCAGGGAGCGAACGGG